rnacentral:rRNA from 1 species
UAAUCGCGCAUCAGCCACGGCGCGGUGAAUACGUUCCCGGGCCUUGUACACACCGCCCGUCAAGCCAUGGAAGCCGGGGGUGCCUGAAGUGCGCUGCCGCAAGGAGCGCCCUAGGGUAAAACCGGUGACUGGGGCUAAGUCGUAACAAGGUAUC